GACGAACGCUGGCGGCGUGCUUAACACAUGCAAGUCGAACGGAAAGGCCCUGCUUUUGUGGGGUGCUCGAGUGGCGAACGGGUGAGUAACACGUGAGUAACCUGCCCUUGACUUUGGGAUAACUUCAGGAAACUGGGGCUAAUACCGGAUAGGAGCUCCUGCUGCAUGGUGGGGGUUGGAAAGUUUCGGCGGUUGGGGAUGGACUCGCGGCUUAUCAGCUUGUUGGUGGGGUAGUGGCUUACCAAGGCUUUGACGGGUAGCCGGCCUGAGAGGGUGACCGGGCAAAAUUGGGAUGGGGGACCGGCCAGGCCUCCACGGGGGGGAGGGGGGGGGAAUAUUUGAAAAAGGGGGGGAGGCCGGGGGAAGAAACCCCGGGGGGGGAAGGGCGGCCUUGGGGUUGAAAACCCUUUUCCCGUGGGAGGAAGGGGGGGGACGGGAAAUGGGAAAAAAGCCCCCGCCAAAUACGGG
rnacentral:rRNA from 1 species